rnacentral:RNase_P_RNA from 1 species
GGGAGCAGGAGGGUCGCUGACAGUGUACGACACUGAGGAAAGUCCCCUCUCCAUGAUGCGAGUGGCUCGACGCAAGUCGAGGGUCCGGGAGGGCCGGCUCUGCAACAGAAACGAACUGCCCCGGGAGUACGAUGAAUCCGUGAG